CGAGAUUCGGUCCUGUUAAGGAAAACAAAACUAUAGGGUGAGCUAAACGCUCGUGAGGCCAAGAACACACAUGCAAGCACUUUGUUCAAAUAGCAAUCCCAAAUUUUAUAAAUAAAACCAUGUCCUUACAAUAAUCAAUCAUUCGAACAGGAAAAGUAAUCAUAAACAAUUCAAGGAUAUAGUAGCUCUCAGGAGCUAAGUUCCACUCGCUCUGCCGAUGUCAUUCGUAUACCUUCCCGCGUUAACCCUCCUGUCAACCGGGUCGGUAUUUCCAUUUCCGUAGAUCACCACUUACUUCCCUCCGUCCACCGUACACCACAAGGGCCCACAAGUCAUUUAUAAGGCGAUACUCCACGAGUAUGCCAAGCAAGACCUCUCAUUAGGUCGAACUUAUAUAUAUCUCAUGGCUCGCCCCAGUCCCCGACCAAGCCCAUUGCCGGCGCGAGUCCAAGGUCGGCCUAUGAGUUUGGGCGUCCCCCAUUCAUUUGAAAGUCGAGGAGGUUCACUCCAACGACAUAUGUAAUCAUAACAUAACAUUGCAUUUCAUUCAUUCAUUCAGUACAUUUCAAUCAUUCAGUUGAAAUUAGAACGAGUGCGAUAAAGUACGCACCCGCCCUUAUUUUUUUUAAACUUCCAACAAUUACCACAAAUAAGCAAGUAUUAAAGAUCCACACACUUGACACUCACCGAGCAAUUCAAUAAGAAUUAUUUUCUGGGAGUUCAAGUGUCCACUGUGAGAUCCUCUUGAAGGUCUCAUUGUGCGCCUGGCAAUUAAUAGCGGAUAAACACAAAUAAUCCACUUGUCAAGGAAGAUUGUACACUAGUACAAUCUAAGGGAUUUUUCACAAAAUGAACCUCAAUUACUCAUAAAUCGAGGUUCAACUUGCCUUUUAUUAUGUACAAUAUUAUUUGAGUUUUUAUCAUGAAAAUCGAGGGCAAAACGUUUGAAUAAUACUAAGAGAAUUAAGAGUUUUGGAAAAACUCCUUUGCCUUGAAAAUUGAGAAAUUUCAGUUUUAUCCUAAAUCUUUGAAAAUUCGAAUCUCUCUCGAUAUAAGCCCAAAACUGGAAAACUUUAUACCGUUGGAAACCUUUUGGAAAGUGGUAAAAGUUCUUAGAAGAUGCCUUUCCAUGAAUCUAAGUGGAAAGUACUCAAAAAUGAGCUUGAAGAUACAGACUCGACGUACAAAGCAGAAUUAAGUUGGAUUUCGGCCAACUUUGAAAAUUCGGCACGAUUCACACGUUGCGAACCGGCCUCUGAAAUUUGUAACUCAAUUAGUGUUGCAAGUGAGGUUUACAAAAAAGCAAGUGGAUCAAGAAUCGGAGUUUCGAGUACCGAGAUACGGUAGCUCGAAGUUGGGGAAAUUCAAGACUGGAGAAGAAUUUUCAGAUUUGAACCUCCAACACUAGAAAUUUAAUUAGGUAUUGAAACGAACUUGGAUUGGUACCAAAAUUGGCAGUAUUUUACUCCUAUAUGAAAGGUACCGUUCUAUCAAAUUUCAGGGAAAAAUACCUUCGGAAAGAUAGAUAAUUAGUCAACCAAAGUUCAGGAAAAAUUCUAAGGCAAUCUGCCUUUUGACUUUCAUAUCCCAAUUUCAAAUCGUUUAACCAAGAAAGCUAUCCAACCAUGGUUCAUUGGUGAAAUAAAGGUCUAAGAUAUAUCCAUGAUACCUUUGGUAAUGGUUUAGCAUCAAGAACUUCAAGUAAUAAAAUCAUUCCCAAGUUUUGCCCCAAAUCAGUCCAAAUACUACGUUUUUCCAAAACAGGGCAGUACUCUUGUUUUAGUCACAACUCAAUCAAUUUAACUCGGAAUGAGGCAUGGCAUGUUUUUGGCGUUAGAAAAUACAUUCAUAGGAGUAAAAGUUCACAGAAGAAAAAUUCUGAAAUUUGGCAAGCAACCAGCUCGAAAUUGAGCCUCAAGUUGCUGCCUCUACAAACCAUUCCAGCAAAUCCGAGAGACAGGACAGCUAUCUUAAAACGUUCGGUUCGGCUCACUCACAGAGAAUCAGAACAUACAUUUUAUCUCAAAUUAAAGCCAGGAAUGUCUAGUUUCAAACGCCGCUGACGGCACUUGAUUUCGACACCCGAGGACAGAGUUAUGGUCAAAAUGCUACCGCUGGACAGGGUUACCCGAAAAUAAUUUUCCAGCUUGUCUAGUUCACAAAUAAAUUCAUUUGCCCAUCCAAACAUUAAUGUUUUCAAAUGAAAUUUUUACAUAUAUAACAUAUCAUAUAAAAAUCAGGUUCAAACCAAUAAAUCACCAAAAAUGGGCCUUAUCAUGGCCGAACAAAACAGGGGCAGUUUCGAAAAAUUCUUGUCAUGACCUCAACUUUGAGUUUCCAACAAUAAUACUCCAUAAAUCCAUCAUUAUAACCACUAAACUACCAUUAAAUCCAACAUUAAUCCUCUAAUCAGCAACAACAACCCAAGUGUGGGAAUACAAAGAGCCCACUUUCGCAAUUUCCAACUAUAUCAAGCCAUCCAUACACAUGCAAUAACUUAAAGAUGCAUUUCUACCAUCAUAAUCCAAGUUUAAGGUGUAGGAUGAAGUUAUACCUCCUUAGUGCCUUAACCCAGAAAUUUUCGGCCCUCAAGAGCUCCAAGAAACCGUGAAAUGCAGCCCUUUUUGUUAGCUAAAUCCAACCUCCAAGUAGUUUGCUAGAUGAUCUCCAAGUUUGGUGAAGAUUGGUUGAAGUUUGGGUUGAUUUGGUGAAGAAAAAUGAAGAGCAAUGAAGCUUAAGAGAGAGAGAUGUUGGCCGGCUGUCUGGGAGGAAGAGAGAGAGUGAUCAGAUUUCUUUUAAGCUUCCAAGAAAGAUUAAAUGAGUGGUGCACAUUCACUCCAAAGUCAACUCUUAUUAGGGCUCGUUUGGCACGUUUUAGGCUCGAUUUUCUCGCGCGUUUGUUCACUAGUGCACUGAACCCCAAUGCAUUUAUAUUCAUGUAAGUAUUAUUCACUCUUAAUUGUCCCGAAUAAAGGUCUAAAGUCCCUCAAAUAAAGUCGCGCGUGUGAAAACGCGUACCGUCAAUUUUAACGCUAUAACGCGAAACUUCCGAGAAAUUCUUAUAACGAUUGUACUACUAACUAUCACUUGAGUAUUUAUUCAUAAGAUUACCUAUUUUAAGAAUAGUACAAGUCUCCAAUAUUCCAAGCUUAUUGUGCUCCUACGCGGAUAAAAUCUCAAGUACUAUUCACUAUUUUUACUAAACGCGCUCCAGGAAAUUAAUUUUUGAAACGAAUCAUUUAAAAUAUAACGAAGUUAUAUUACCAUGUAUUUAGGUCUAAUAAGACUAGAAAAUAUUCCUCAUGGCAAAAUCUAAUUAAAUAAUUUAUUAGCCAUAAAUUAGGCAUAAAAUAAUAGUUUUUACGAGUCCUCACACAAAUUCCAGUGUAACCUAGUCAAAUUCCCAAUUCCCAGAACCAAGUUCCAACUAAUCGGCUAAUUAACCGUACUACCUUUAAAUGGCCAUAUCGCAGGAUACCAAAGUCCGUUUAAGGCUUUCCUGGAGGCGUUGAAAAGCUAAUACAAAGACCUACAACUUUCAUGAAGACCACUCAGUCUAGUUCUCACCCUAACUAGGUCAAAUUUACCAAAAGAAACUCCAGAUUUUCCAGUUUGAAAUUCACUGCAGAAAUCAACUAGCAGUCCUGCUUUAUUCACUCAUAUCUCAGCACACACAACUCCAAUUCAGGUAAUUCCAAAGCCAUUAGAAAUCUAAGACACAAGGCUAUAAGUCUUAAGAAGACAUCAACAACCAAAUCAGUAGUAUUCCUGGUCAAAACAUCCAAUUACAGAAGCUGAUUAUCAGUUUCGGAUAAAUACAGGGAAGCAAGGGUAUUUUGGUCUUUUCACAGGCUAAGUUGCUCUGAUUGAGCUGAAAUUUUACAGGAAACUAUAAAACAUCAUUCCCUACAACUUUCAUGUUUUGUACUAUGGCCAAAUCAGCUCCCAACAUGUUCGAAUUUUCAGACUAAUUUCGGACAGAAAUCUUGACAGAAAAGGAACACUUGAAGUUCAUUUGAAUUUCCGGCCAUUCAAAUCAGUUCCUAGCCAGUUAGAUUCAACUUCCAAUCAUCAAUCAUAUGUUUUACCACAAGAAUCAAGAGUUGGGAAAUUGGUUUACCUCAAAUCCUUAAUCAUACCCCCUAGCUGGCCGAUUCUUUGAGGAGAUGUAUCCUUGAGCUCCAACUCUCCAACAAAGUUCCCUUGGUUGGUUGCAAGCAAGGUUGGAUGAAUAACCCCAAUGAUUCCCUUUCUUUUUUUUUCUUUCUUCUCCUAGCUCACCCGAUGCUGCCUUUCUUCUUCUCCAAGCUCACGAUAACUUGUUCUUGGUGUUGGCUUU
rnacentral:lncRNA from 1 species